GAAAUUCAAGGAAAAUAAAAAAUUACCAAAAUGUCCCUAAAUUUUGGUAUUUCUGUAAUUUAGCCUGGUAAGUUCGUAUGAACUAUAUUAUGUAUAAUUUUAAUUAAAGUGAAUGUUAUUUGGUGAUGAAUAUUAUAUAAAUAUGUGUUUUAUUAUUGGAAUUGAAUUAUUAUUGGUAAUAUGUAUAAUUAUUAGAUGCAUUGAAAUUAUUUAUCGGAAGCUCUGUACAGCCCAAAUUUACCCGGGCCUCACCAAAUAACAGGCCCAAAAAUUUAAAACCUACCCAAGCCCAAUUACAAAACCCAUUACCCAAAACACAAAUCAAAAAAAAGAAACCCUAACCCUAGGUGCGCCGCACCUAGGGCCUUCUGCAUCUGCCGCCGCCGUCAAUCAUCUCAGCCACCUGCCCUCUGACUCGCGCCGCUCGCCCAUCACCCCACUUGCCUGCAAAGAAGAAAAUCACGCAAAGCACAGUGGCAAACAGAGAAAAAGAAAAAAGAAGACUAAAAUAACAUGUAAAAUUGGCUAUAAAGCCAAGUAUCAUCUCUGUAACAAGCCCCCCCUUUUUUGCAAAAAAACAUUCAAGAAAUAAGAAAUAAAAAAACAAAUUCAACAACCCCAUUUUCGGUAUAUUUAUUUUCUUUUUCUAGUUUUUUUUCUCUUUAUUUUUUUUUCCUUUCGAAUUAUUUGUGUUCGAUUUUGUUUCUUUUAUUUUUUUAAAACUAUNNNNNNNNNNNNNNNNNNNNNNNNNNNNNNNNNNNNNNNNNNNNNNNNNNNNNNNNNNNNNNNNNNNNNNNNNNNNNNNNNNNNNNNNNNNNNNNNNNNNGACGGCCCCAUGACCGGAGGCGGCCGGACCCUAGCCGAGAGGACUGAGAAGAGGGAGAGUUGAGAGAGUAUUUUGUGUUUUUUUUGAAGAGUGGAAGAGAAUGAAUUUUUGCUAAAAAAUUGGAAUUUUAUACCCCUCUUAAACGGCGUCGUUUAGGGCUUGGCAUCAUAGCCCUAAAACGACGUCGUUUAGUCUUUAGACCCGAUCCACCCGACCCGCCUGCCAAGGAUCCGCGUGUUUUCUAUCAAGGGGUUAUUUGCGCUUCAGGCCCUUCCGCAUUUUCAGUCUGUUUCAAUUUGGACCAUUUGUCUUUUUUCUCCUAUUUUAAUUUGGACGACGGAUUUGUUCCCUUUUUUAAUUUGAUCCUCAAUUAGUUGGGCCCCUAAGGAAGGGACGCGUGGCCUGAAAAUCAGGUUUAUUACCCAUUUGGUCCUUCUUCCUUUCGCGCCCUUCUAUUUUGGUCCUCCUUUGUGCAUUUUAUUAUAGUCUUAACCUUUAAAUUUUAUUUUUAUCACAAAUUGACCCAUUUUGUUAUUUUUGUUGUUUUAUUAACUAAUCUAGCUAUUAUUAUUAUAUUUUGCCAUUAUAUAUAUGUAUAUUUACGUCACCAUUAUUAUACCAUUUAGUUUUACAUUGUUAUUGUUAUAUNNNNNNNNNNNNNNNNNNNNNNNNNNNNNNNNNNNNNNNNNNNNNNNNNNNNNNNNNNNNNNNNNNNNNNNNNNNNNNNNNNNNUAUUUAUAUCUUAUUAUAUAUAUCUAUAUAUCUCUUUAUAGACACGUUUUUUUAGCUUAUAUACAUACAUAUGUUUUGUUAUACAUACAUACAUAUACGUCUAUAUCCAUCAUUCAUUUUUAUAAAAUAUAUGUAUAUACGUCUUUUUUUUUACAUAUAUAUGUACAUACUUACACUGUUUUAUUUUACAAUAUACAUACUUAUAUCAUUUAUUUUAUGUAAUAUAUAUGUAUGCACAUACCCAUUUUUUUAUUUAUAUAUGUACAUAUUUAUACUUUUAUAAUAUAUAUACAUGUGUAUGUACGUGUUUUUAUAUAUAUAUACACAUACUUAUACAUAUUAUUUAUAUUUUAAAAUCUAUAUUUUUCUUACAUAUUUUCUAUAUUUUAUAAUUCACAUACAUAUGUUUUUUAUAUAUAUAUCGCAAUACAUAUUAGCAUCGUGUUUCAUUUUGCCCAAUAUAUCAAAAUCCAUUUCAAAUAAAUUAAAUCUCGUGUUUAGAUAUUUGAAAAGUUGUGCCCUAACUUACUGGGUUUCGAUUUUCACAAUAAAUCUAAACACGUGAAUAUUUUCAAACUCGAGUUUUCAAACGAUCUCGGGAAUUAAGAAAAGAUCGUGUCCUAACUUACUGGGCAUGAUCCCUUUUCUAAACCCGAGAUAAUUAAAAGUCUUUUUAAAUAAAUAAAUUUUUCGGCAUGUACUCUCGUAUCGGGAAUUUGAUACGUUGUGUCCUAAUGCAUUGGAUAUGACAUGUCGUUUUCUCGNNNNNNNNNNNNNNNNNNNNNNNNNNNNNNNNNNNNNNNNNNNNNNNNNNNNNNNNNNNNNNNNNNNNNNNNNNNNNNNNNNNNNNNNNNNNNNNNNNNNUAAAGGCAAUAUUUUGCGUUUGGAAAUUCGAGAAAACAUGCCCUAAGGUGCUGGGUGUCGAUUUUUCUCGUUCAACCAAAUAGCUAAGUAUCCUUCCAAAAAUUUCAAAAUAAGGCAAUAUUUUGCAUUCGAAAAUUCAAGGAACGUGCCCUAAUGUGCUGGGUUUCGAUUUCCCGAUUGACCGAAUAGCCAAAUAUCCUCUUGAAUUUUAAUCCAUGCCAUUCGAGUUUUUUUCGGAUCGUAUUUUAAAUUUCUUUAAAGUUUUCAGUUUUUCGACACUAAGACAUUAAGUAAUCAACUAGGUACCAAUUUUGGGCGUAUCGAGGGUGCUAAUCCUNNNNNNNNNNNNNNNNNNNNNNNNNNNNNNNNNNNNNNNNNNNNNNNNNNNNNNNNNNNNNNNNNNNNNNNNNNNNNNNNNNNNNNNNNNNNNNNNNNNNNNNNNNNNNNNNNNNNNNNNNCUCAUCAAAAAUGAUUGGUGGCGACUCCCGUUUUCGUUUUCAUUUUCAAAACCCAAGUCGACUCCGUUUUUCAUCCAAAAAAUGGUGUCAACAAGCUCGAUUGAGUUGGAAGCUUGUCGGAGAUAUAUCACACUAUCCAUUGGUUCUAUCAGUAAUUUUGGAUGAUUUGAUUCUGGUUAUAAUGGCAUGAAUAAAUUAAAUUGGCCAACGUUAGCUCAUUAAUGUUUUGAUUUUGAUUGGUUAUAAAUAUGAAUGCUUGUUGAAAUGAAAUAUUUGUAAAUUAAUUUGUAAACUCUGGUAAUGCUCUAUAACCCUAUUCUGGCGAUGGAUACAGAUUAGGGUGUUACAAUUAUUUUUUGAUUUUUCGGUUAACGGUUAAUUCGGUUCUAUACCAGUCGGUUAACGGUGACUUAAGACCACACGGUCGUGUGCUCUAACCGUGUGGAAAUGCCUACAUUUUAUGGGGGUCAAAAUGCCCGUGUGGAGGGAGGCACACGGCCAUGUGGCUGAGGCACACGCCCGUGUGAGCCAGGGACAUGGCCGUGUGAACAGGUCGUGUAACUCUUUGUCCAUUUAUGGUAAAAUAGAGUACAGGGUAGACACGGCCAUGUGAGAGUCUCACACGCCCGUGUGGAUCCCUAAAUCCCCAAAUUGGCCACACGGCUAUGUGGCCAGGUCGUGUGGCACCAAAAUUUACCCAAAAACCCUAAUUCCUAACUGCACACGGCCAUGUGGACCGCCCGUCUAGGGGCACACGCCCGUAUGGGGGCACAUGCCCGUAUGGUCACGAAACCACCCUAAAAUAGCCCAAAAAAACGUGCUUUCACCCUCGAAGCACUUCCCAACCCUCGAUCACUCAAAAUUACACCAAAUCAAACAAGUUAUGAGCAUAAAAACAACGGUAAAACAUCGUAGAUGUAACACUCCUAGCUCUUACCCGUCGCCGAAACAGGGUUACAGAGCAUUACCAGACUUUUCAGAUCAAAUAUGAAUAUUUCAUAACAUUUAAUAUACAUAUCAGAAACUAAUCAUAAAUCACUCAUAUUAUCCCUUUUAUGAGCCCUCGAGUCCCAAAAUACACAUGAGGAAAUAAUCGAGACUAAACCGAAAACUUAAAGAAUUUUUCUCAAAAUUUCAAAAUAUUCCUUAGUUGUAUGGGACACACACCCUUGUGGCCAGGCCAUGUGGCUCACACGACCAAAAGACACGCCCGUAUCUUAGGCCAUGUGGACAUUCAAAAUAAGGCACAUGGCAUGUCCCAGCCUGUGUCCAUACCCGUGUAACUCUCUGACUUUGGUCAUACGGCUAAGCCACACGCCCAUGUGCUAGGCCGUGUGAGCAUACUAAUUUAUGAAAUUAAGGUUCAGAGGUCACACAGCCAAGCCACAUGCCCGUGUGCUAGGCCGUGUGAAAAUACCUAGACAUUCUGUUUCUUAAUUUUAAGGAUGCAGGGGACACACGACCAGACCACAUGCCCAUGUGCCCUGCCGUGUGUCACACACGACUAAGACACACACCCAUGUCUCUGCCUGUGUGGACGAAAUUAGGCCAUUUUAAGGCAACAUUUCUCACCCAUUCUUGAUUUCAACAUAAAGACCUCAAAUUUCAUACUCAUAGGCCAUAACAAGACCUUCAAUACAACCAAUUCUUAGCUUUAAAAAUGUCAUACAAUCAAUUCACACAUUUGAUUACUUACAAAAACCAUAUUUUACCAAUUUAUUCACCAAUAUGCCUAUAAUUUAUCCAUCAAUUAACCACACCUAAACAUACAUCAAGCAUGAUAAAACUACACAUAUAUAUUUAAGUUGUUUAUGUGAACAAAACAUCAUUUAUAACAUUUAUACAAGCUAACUUUGAUCAGAUACACACCAACCCUAUACAUGUCAUAUAAACCAUAAUGUACGUUUCAAAGACUAUCGAAAUGAGUUGGAUAGUGUGACCUGUUGUGCUGAUCCAAUCUCCCGACUUGACGAUAAUCUGCAAAGACAUUAAACAAUACAAAUAAGCUUAAUGAAGCUUAGUAAGUUCGAUAGGUUAAACAUAAAUCUUAUCGAACCUACUAUAACAAAUCAAUUAAGUAAAUCAUUCAAUGUACACUUCCUGCCAAUCACAACCCCAAUUGAUGAAUACACUUAUUUCAGAUCAAUUCCAACAUUAAAUAACAAAUCUUCCAAUUCCAAUUAUAUAAGUCACUUACCAAAUCGAAGAACGGCUUACGAAUAAGAGUACAUCAUUUUCAGAAGCCCGAAGGCUGAACAGAAGCUCAUGAGAGCUAAACAGAAACCCGUAAGGGUUAAACGGAAGCUCGUAAGAGCUGAACAGAAACCCAUAAGGGUUAAACAGAAGCUCAAAAUAGCUGAACGGAAACUCAUAUGAGUUAAACAGAAGCUCAUGAAAGCUAAACGAAAAGUAAACACGAAAUUUCACAACAAAUGCUGAACCUCGGUUAACUUGGGUAAUUUGACACAUUUUCCUCCAAUACCGUCAAUUCGCCGAAUGUCGAAUGUACUCAAAUCCCACGUUCCAUUCGUUUCGAACAUUCAAUUUAAUUUCAUAACUUUAACAAUAUUUCAUUUUCAACAAUAGAUAUGAAUAAAUACAUAAUAUCAUUCAUCAAUCUAAUAUAUAUAUUAAAGUUUAACUAUACGAACUUACCUGGAUUAAAUCGUAAGAUUUGCAGAAGUUCAAAGACUAUUUUGCUAAUUUUCUUUUUUCAAUAAUAUCUACGAGCUCUUGAUCUAAAAUAUAAAUUAUAAAUUACUCAUUUAUUAGAAUAUAUUCCAAUUCCAAUUCACUUCACAAUUAAUACCCCUCAAUUUUUUGAAAUUACACAAUUGCCUUAACUUUUACAAAUUUUGCAAUUUAAUCCCUUAAUUAAUUAGUCCACUAAAUGAACUAAUCUUUCUCAAUUGAUAAUUUAUCUAAAUAUUCUAGCUAUCAUACAGCCCUUAAUAAACAGAAAUUAAUAGCAAACCCUAGUAUUUAACCUUUUUACAAUUUGGUCCUAAAAUCUAUAUCUAUCAAAAUCACCUUAUAAAAUCAUUAUACAACAAAAUUAAAGCUCCAAAUCCAUGUUAUUUCAUCAAAAAAAUCAAGUAUUCAUCAAUGGCAUCUUUCAAAUUUUCCAAUAAAAUCAAAAACUAAUAAAAUAGUUAUUGGACCUAAUUGCAAAAGUCUUAAAUUUCAAAAAAAAAGACAAGAAUUGAACUUACUUGAAGCAAAAAUAUGAACCGGCAUUUUUGGACUAAAGAUUGGUGAAGAAUUGACUAGAAACUCUUUUAAUUUCUAAUUUGUUUUCACUAAAUUUACAAUUUUGCCAUUAAUUUUCAUUAAUUUAUUAUUUUUUAACACCUAUGUCGCCUCAGCCAUUACCUUUAGGAUUAUUUACUCUUUAAAUCCUCCAUAUUUACCAUUUAAGUCAUUUAAUCACUAUUUCUUUAAUUAGCAAGUUUUGAAAUUUUUUCAAUUUAGUAUUUUUUAAUUAAUUAACUAUCAAAACAUUAAAAUUUUCUAACGAAACUUUAAUACCACCUUAAUGACACUCCGUAAAUAUUUUAUCGAUUUAUAGAAAUGAGGUCUCAAUACCUCAUUUUCUAAACCACUUGACCUAAUAAAUCCUUAUAAAACACAAAUUACUAAUACAAAAAUCUUUCUAAAAUCACAUUUGACUUGUAAAUACUAAAGCUUAAAAUUUGCGAGCUUACUCGUCAGAUUUGGCGGUCUUGAACCACUAUUUUCCUACACCACUAAAAAUCGAGUUGUUACAGUAGAUAAUAAAUUUGCGAACACACACAUAAAAUGUUGAUUUCCACAGUGUCAAAACAAGAAUUCACAAAUAAAUUAGAAAGAUGCGGAACCCACACCUGAUUCGCGAUCAAUGACGUUCAGACAUUGACUCGACGACAAGGAAGCGAAGCUCUCCAAAAUCCACAAGCAAAACCGUUUUCAAAAAAAAAUAAAGAAGAACAAAAGAAAAGAAACAAAGAAAGGGGAAGAGGAGAACAUCUAGAAAAAAAUGAAAAAAUAAAAAUAAAAAUAAAUAGUUAUAUCUUUUAACUUAAAACAAAACUGAUACUUAACAAAAACAAAAAGAAAUUAAAAAUAUUUUUCCAAAACACACACAAUUAAGGCUCAAACUCAAAACCUUAAGAUACACUAACACUCCUUCAACCACCAUACCAGCAGGCUUGUUCUAUUACUUAAAUGUGCAACUAAACACAAUAGCACAACUUUCUCUCUGAACCUAACCACAAAACUCAAAACCAUUAUUGAAAAAGGAAAACUUAACAAAGAAGGAUUGAAAUGAAAGUCGGGCGAAGCAGUCCAAGUCUUUUUUAAACACCCCUCCCCUUACUUAUUUUCCCAUCGAAGAAAAUAAAAUGGAUAUUACAAGGAUAUUGCCUGAAGAGUGCCUGUGUUUGAUCAUAUCGUUGACUUCGCCUGUAGAUGCAUGUGGAUCGGCUAUGGUUUCUCACGCUUUGAGAUCGGUUGCAGACUGUGAUGCAGUGUGGGAAAAGUUUCUGCCGUGUGAUUACAAGUCCAUCAUAUCGGGAUCGUCGUCGUCGUUGCUUUCGCCGGGGAAAAGAAGGAUCUAUAUUUUCAUCUCUGUUUCCAUCCCAUUCUCAUUCAAAAUGGUACCAUGGUAAUCCCCAAAGCUCACUCUUUAAUCUCUUUCGACUUUUGUUCUUAUAAAGCUUCACAUCAUGUAGUUAAAUGCUACUAAACGAUGUAUAUGUAUAUGUAUAUGUGAGCUGCAGGGGGUACUUUACUUUGGAUUCUUGAGUUCUAGAUGAUCAAAAUGCUUUUAACUUGAGUUCUAUGUUUAUUGCGUUUGGGAAAUCAAAAAUGUUUUUCAUAGCAGAAGCAAUGAAUUUUGGGGUCAAAUCUUUUGUGAAAAAGUGUUUUUCUGUCGAAACCUUAAAGUCUUUUUAUGUUUUGAAAGUAAAAAUUAUUAUUAACUAUUUAAAAGUAUAUAAAAAAUUAAUUUAAUUUAAUCAAUUGAGUUUUAGUACGAUUGGCAUGCACAGUUUUGUCAAUACAAAAGGACGUGAGUUUAAGUGUGCCGAAACGCAUUAUAAAAAAAACAAAUAUGAUCAAAACGGAUAAUAAGAUUAUUCAAAAAAAUUUAAAUUAAUUUAUAAUUUAUAUAUUAUUAUAUUAAAUUAUAUUCUAACCUUCAACCAUACUUUUUGACAGAAACGGAAAACACUAAAACUUAAUAAAUUGUUUUUUUCACGGCAUUUUUCAAUUAUAUUUUUCAAAAGCAUUUUUCAACCGCAACGACAAUAGAAAAUAAACUUUAAUACUCUAUUAAAUAAUGUGAUGUUAAAGUUAAAAAUUAUUUAAAUAAGUGUCAUGACAUACUAAGUAAUGUUUUGCACUUUCAUGCUCUCUUAGCAUUAAUACUCAAGGUUUGACAUAAUACAUCCGCAUUCAAUAUAGUCCCUGACAUUAAAAAAUGUGGUGAAAAUUUUUUGGUUUCCAAAACAUUUUAGUGUAUGGCAUUUGGAAAAUUUUAUACAUUUAUAUCUAAAAAUAAUAAAACCAGUCUAAAAACCAAAAACACUAUAUGUCAUAAUCCACAAUAUUUUACUGGUUUAACAUUGGUUGUGCUAUGAGUAACAUUACCUUACUAGUUGUGCCAACUGCAAUGCUAAAUAAAGCUUUAGAGCAUGCUAUUUUUUUACAUUGAUGUUAUGUUAUUUACUUUCAUCUUCAUGAAAUUCUCUUUGUUUUGUUCUUAUCUCGAAUGUUUUAAUAGGUUCUCAGAAGUUGCCGAGCUCAAACUUGUGUGGUGGCUCGAGGUGAAGGGGAUGAUUGACAUCAGAAUCUUAUCUUACAAUACAAACUAUGCAGCAUACCUUGUGUUUAAGCUUAGAAACAAGCGUACAAUUGAGUUUAGGCAUAGAGCCGUUGGCUUGCAUAUCAAUGUCGGCGGAAUCACCUCAUGGGAAGUGCGGAGGGUGUCGUUAGACCCUUCACAAAAUGGGACCCAACAUGUUCGAGAGAGAGAAGAUGGGUGGAUGGAGGUUGAAAUGGGCGAGUUUUUUAAUGAAUUUGGUGAUGAUGGAACUGUACAGCUUAGUCUUAGGGAGAUUGAUACAAGUUGCUAUAAGCAAGGCCUCAUUAUUGAAGGAAUUGAGCUACGGCCUAAAGAUACUGGUAGCUAGGUAGACUUUGGAUUAGGGUUUGGUAAGCUCUACGGCCUAAAGAUACUGGUAGCUAGGUAGACUCUAGAUUAGGGUUUGAUAAGCUCACCUUAUUUGAAGUGAUUCACAAUUUCAUCUAACUCGUAUGAAUGAUAUUUUAAAAUUUUCAAGCUGUGUGUUGAUUCAAAAUUAUGUAUUUUUCAAAUAUUUUUUUUAUUUUUUAGUUUUACCGAGCAAUAGGUAGAAAGAAAAUUUUCUACCAAGUACAUAUAUACAACGAAAAAUUAUAGUUUUCAUCUUUUUAUUUUUUUAUCUAUUUAAUUUUUCUUCUUUUCAAUUUUAUUUUCACUCCACUAAAUAAAGCCUAAAAAACGGAUUUGAACAAUAAAGUUCUAAUAAUUAUUGAUUGAUUUGUUCAAUAGUUCAUCAUUGACAUUAACUAUGUGCUUUGGAUAUCAUUGAAUCAAAUCAACAAAUACAUUAAUCAAAAGCCAUUAAAAUGUGCUUGUAACAAUCUGUGAAAGCUAAACUAAAGGUGGGUUUGGAUGGGCGAUUGGGUGCGGUGCGUUUAGCUUACUUUUUGUCUCACGCUACAGUAUCACUACGGUAUCUAAUCUCACCGCCACCACUGUUUUUACACUAACCGCUGGUAAACGCACCGCCCAUCCAAACUCACCUUAAUAGACAUAAUAAUAUAUAAAAAAAAAAGUAGAGGAAAAGAAUAGAGAUGAAAGUGGACAUGGCAUAUUGCUUGAGAGAGUGUUUUAUCUCGAUUGGAUCCUGUCAUCGACAUCGCCAACUGAUGCUUGACGAUCGUUGAUUGAGUCUCCGAUCUUUAGGUUUAUAGAACGGGCAAUUUAAGUGAAUUCAUAUUAUUUUCAAGUGCAUUAUAUAAGUUUUUGACAUGUUCGAAUAUUUAUUCAUUAUGUUUAUGUCAUUGAGCAAUAAUGUAUUUUAAUUCAUCAGGUUUUUUAUCAAGUAAUUGUAUUUCAUUUGUAUGUACAUCACCACGAUGAAAUUGGCUGCUUAAUUACUAAGGAAUUUGUCAAAAUGGGAUGUGGGAUCUAACGAGUUUGGGUCGGGUCGAGUUUGGGUCAAGUCAAGUCAAGUCAAGUAAAAAAUUCAGCUCAUUUUCUAGGCUCGAAUUCGGCCUGGACCGAAAAAUAAGUGUAAAAUUUUCCUUAAGUCCGGCAUAGAUAAAAAUAAUAAAGCCUGAGCCCAGUCCGGCUCGUAUUAAAUUUUUAUAUUAUUUUUUAUAUAAAAUUUUUAAAAAUAUAAUAUAACAAAUACACUAAAAACAUUAAAAUAAAUGUUUCCCAACAAGUGAAAAAGAAUUAAAAAAUAUAUACUUAAAUAAUACUAAGAUACAUGUAACUUAGCAAGCUAAUACUUCUAUAUUAACAAUAAAAUAGUACCAAUAUAACAGUGAAAUUACAGCAAAACAGUAAAAAAUAAAAGCAAUUAUUUUUUGUAAAUUUGGGUUGGGCUCGAGCAAAAAAAGCUUACCCGUGACUUGACCUAUUUAGAAAAUGAGCCUUAUCUUUUGUCCAAUCCCAAUUUUCAGGCUUAUAUUUUUAUCGAAACCCUCUCACUUUUCGAGCGAGCCUUCAAGUCAAACUGGAUCUCAACCAAGAACAAGUCUAGAUCUAACUCUAAGUGAUAUUUAAAUGCUUAAUUUGUGAGCAAGGAAUGGAUUAAUAUGAGAUGUGAGAUCCAACCAUAACCUAGCAUGAUAAAAUUUGAUUGAUAUUUAAAUGCUUAAUUAGGCUAUACUAUAACAAAAGAGGUUUGCUAGAUAUCAAUUUAAUCAAUAAAUUUAAGAAUUGAUUAUAUUAAAAACUACCCAAUAAUCGGAAUUUCUUUUAAACAAAAUUUUUAUUCUAGCUUUUCUUAUCAAUCGCCCAAAUAGAAAAUGUGACAUUAUCUAGAAUAUAGGAUUUAUUAUUAUCGACACUAAAAUUAGUAAAUUUUAACUUCACAAGCUAAAUUAAAAAACUAGCAUCUACCCAACCUUUUAUUUUUUAAAUAUAUAAUUUAUAUAAAAACGAAGUGAAACUUGAUUUUGAAAAAGUAAUGGAGUCCAGGCUGUUAGAUUUGACUGGGAAAUGACAUGACGAUUUGGCUUCAUUUUCUGUUUUUGAACUUUUUAAGUAGCCCAUGUUUUAUUCUUUGAUCAGCCCAGCACUGCUGUGGUUUGUUUCAACUCUAGUUUUAGUUUUCUUUUAUCCCCUUAAUCAUAUCCCAGUCAAUUUAUUCAAAUAUAUAUAUAUAGUAAAGUUAAAUUUUUUAUAUUAAUAACUUUUAGAUUUAAAUUUGUAGUUUUUUAUUGAUUUUAUAUAUAAAUAUAAAAAAAUAUACUCAUAAUAAUAUAAUUGUCUUUGUAAAAAAAGGUGAAUAUUCCUGUACUGCCCCUUGUUGGUCCCAAGGGACAGAGGAGGCUAGGUUAGCCAAAAGAUGGUUAUCGGUUCAAGGACGCAAGGUGCCCCUGCUUUUUCAGGGUAAGAAGGGGUAAAGAAAAUGCCCCGAGCCAAUGUUCGAGUACUAGGCGCUACGGCGGUACUUAGUUGACUCAUGACAUCAAAUUAGCUAGAUGUUUAAUAUAUUUUUGGGUAAACUACAUCGUUUGUUACUCUAGACAGGGAUCGUUCCUAUUUUAGUCACCCUAUUUUUUUUUUUAAUUUAGUCACCCAAAUUAGAAAUAAUUGUUUUUAAAAAAUUAAGAUUUACUAUUAUCAAACAAAAUAAUUAUACUCAAUGCUUAAGUUUUACUAACAUAUCAACAGUGUUAUAAUAUAAAUUCAAUACUUAAUUUUUCAGUAUUUAUAUUUUUAGUUUAUCAAAUACAUUCUCACUCAAUGACCCUUUUUUUAUAUAGUACUUACUUCCAUCUAUAAUACCUCUGUAAUAAUAUAAACGGGAAGAAAAUACACACUUAAACUUAUAUUCUUUUAAUUAUUAUAAUAAUUUAAAAUUUGAAGUCAUAAAUGUAUGUAUCCUCAUUAAAUUUUUAAAAAAAAUUAAAGUCAAACAUAUUAAAUAUUAAACCAUUGAUUUACUAAAAAAACAUGUAUCACUUCUUUUCUUUUUUUAUAACAACCAUGGAAUCAAGAUCAACCUCAAGAUGUUCCUGUAAUAAGGUUAGGGUCUCUUCAUAUACUUACAUCUCAUCAUAUUUCUCAUUUACAAAUUUAGCCAUCCAAUCAGCUACUAUGUUGUGUUCCUUAGGGAUAUGUCAAAAACGAACUUUUCAAUUUCGGCAUAGAAGUUGACUAAUCAAACGCAACUCUGAUAUCAUAUUAUUACCCGCACCACCAGCUAAGAUAAUUUCAGCAUUAUCACACUUCAACUCCAAUUGUUUAAAACCAAGCUCUCAUGCUAAAUUGAGGCCUUCUAAUAUAGCUCUUACCUCAAAAUUGAAUAUUGAAUCCUUCUCAAUCCUCGUAGCAAAUCCGCACAUCCAAUUGGUAUCAUGGUCUCUAAAUACUCCUCCAAUCGCAACAGUAUUAUUGUUUUCCGAAAAUGCACUCUGUGUUCAACUUAACCCACCCUUUCUUUAGCGUCUUCCAAUGAACUCCCCACACCUUCUAGAUGUGAUGGAGCUCACAUGAUUUUGAGUUCACAAAUCUUAUUGCCCAGGCUAAACCUGUGCCCAACAACAUCAACAUUACUAGUAUUUAUUGCCAUACAUAUCAUUGAUUUUUCAUAAGUAAUCUAAUAUUGCCUGAAUAUCGGUAGAAAUAUCGAUCAAGAAAAUGAUAAAAAAAACAGUCAAUUCAUGAAUCAGUAUGGACCUAUUAAACUAACAGUUGAAUCGAAUUUUAUAAGUUUUAAAAAAAUAAUUAUUUAUUCUUAAAAUUUCUAAUAAUUUACUUGCUUAUAAUCAAAUGAAUCAAUCAAAUUAAAAACUGAUAAACUAAAUAAAUUUACUACUUGUCCCGCUUCAAAAACAUUAUAAAAAUUUAACCUUUAUUCAUAAACAAAUUUAGAUAACUAAAUAUAAUGGUUCAAAAGAUAAGCAUCUUCAAGUAAAUAUUUUUAAAAUUUUAAUUUGUUUUGGUUUUCAAUGAUUGAGACUUUGUUAUGCGACAUUUGAUGUUAUAAUGUCAAUUUUCUAAAAGGAAAAUAGAAAAGUAAAAUUUAAAGAAAAAAACUACUUGAGGCUUCAAUGCAAAAAAUAUGGUAAUAUCAUCGCAUUAGAUUUAUUUCAUCCAUCAGUUUUAUUAUAUAUAUAUAUAUAUAUAUUAGUUUUUAUUUAACUUUUCGUCUUUUUCAAUUUUUCCAUUUGUAUUAUUUAUCAAAUCACCUCAAAAUAUAUAUAAAAAAAAACUUAACAUUUGUUGACUUUUUAGUGACAUACACGUAAAUAUCAUCAAUUACCUUUUUAAAAAUAAAAAAUAUAAAAAAAUUUGUUUUAAAAAAUAAGACUUAUUAAAAAUAUUUUUAAUGUUCAAGUAAAUAAUCAAGAAUUUUCAUGUUGAUAAGAGCAAAUAACAAGAAAUAGGAGAGCAGAAAGAAGUAAAACUCUACUUCUAAUAAAUUUGCUUAAUCAUCUAGUAUGAGGUUAAUUUGUAAUUUUUUUUCUAUAAAAAACUAAAAUAUAAUUCAAAAUAUGGUACAAUGAUUUUGUGGUACUUUUACCUUUAUCUUCUAAUUUAUUUUAUUAUGUUUUUGAUUGAUUUAAAACUCAAUUAAAUAAGAUUGUGACAAGUAAACAUUGACUGAUUUAUUUUAUAUUAUUUUCACCUGUCUUACGUGUCAAAAUCAAGAUUAACACGUACAAUUUAAAAUUGUUAUUUCAUAUUAGUAAAUGCUAGUUUAUUAAAAUUUAACCAGAGAUUAAAUUGAUGUAUUUUACUAAUAUAAGUUGCUCUCUUAGAUAAAGAGAUUUGACGUUCCACGUAUCUUUUAAAUUUAUUUUUAAGAAAAUAAACAGUCCACGCUUUUCACAAGUAUCAAGGUUUCUUUAUCAAGUCUGGCAGUGUGUCAAGUCUAAGCCUUUAUCCGAUUCAUAAAUUAUUAAUUAAAACUAAAAAAUUUAUACAUAUAUGUGUGGGGGAAUCAUAUAAUUAAAAUAUUUUAUAUAUAUAUAUAUGAUAAAAUAACAUACAAUAAAUAUAAAAUGUACUAUUUAAAACUAAUAAUAAUAAUAUACAUAUUAUAGAACAAAAUAAAAUGUAUUUUUAAUAUACAGAUGUGACCCCUCUCGUCUUUAAAUAUUUUUCAUAUGUAUUUAUAAUCUAAUCCUAGUGUAAUUUUUCAGAAAAUAUUAUUUUGGUACCAAAUAAAUUUAAAUUUGUUGAAUCAAGGGUCAGUUUCGGCUCAGGUAUUAAUUUUUCAAUUCUUUUUGGUUUAUUUUUCAGUGCAGGCAUUUUAUUGUACCCCAUGAAAUGCUUAUUUAUUAUAUUGCUUUUAAAUAAAUGGUUGCAAUUUUUUUUGUAAAUAUUUUGAACAGUCUAAAAUAAAAUAAAAAUAAACUUUUAUUUAUUUAUAUUUAUCUUUUUUUGCAAAAGAAAAUAAUUUUAUUUUAUUUAAAACUAAUCCCUCUUGUUUUUAGCAUUUUGUUUCCUCGGGUUAACUUUAUCCUCGUUUUAGUAGUCUUUUGCUUCUUCAAAUUUUAACUUGAGUUCAACCGUAUAAACUCACAUCCUUUGCACCCUAAACAUAUCAAACACCACCAACCACAUCCUUUCCUAAAAAAACCAUUGUCGUAUCCCUUAACCAUCGUCGAUCGAACCUCCUGACUGCCGUCCACAUCAGCCGCCACACCUAACCUCCGACCAAACCACCAACACACAACCUAGCCGCCCCAUAGCCGAUGCCACCUUAUCGCCCUAACACUCAUUAACUCGAAUCCUUGCCGAUUUUUCAUGAUUUCUGAACCUACAUUCCAACUAUUCAAAUAUUAUCUCCUAAGAGAAAAGGAAAUGCAUCUCAAACUGAUGAACCCCGGGAUCGAUUCCAUAAAGAAGAAGUAAGAAAGAAAUCAAUCGAUGCUCCCGGACAAAGGGUUCAAUUUGUUACAUAUUGAUUGUACUACAGUAUUGUCAAAUAUUUGGAAAAUUGUCAAUGCAUUGAAGUGGAAUUUAUUCUGUGACAUAAGACCACAUUCUGAGGCUAAAUUUGUAACACCCCUAACCUGUAUAUGUCGCCGAAAUAGGGUUACAGAGCAUUACCAGAAUUUUCAAAACAAGUAAACAGAUAUUUUAUAUCAUAUAGCAUUCAUAUCAUAAACCAAUCGAAAUCAAGCAUAAUGCCCCUUAUGUGAGCCCUCGAGUCCCAAAAUACACAUUAGAAACAAGUUAGAACUAUAUCAGGUACUCAAAGAAUUUUUUCGGAAAACACUAAAAUUUUUCAAAUAUACAGGGGGCACACGCCCGUGUGGCCAGGACGUGUGUCUCACACGGUCAACAGACACGACCAUGUCUCAGGCCAUGUGGGCAUUCGAAAUAGGGACACAUGGUCGUGUCUCAACCCGUGUCCAUACUUAUGAGCUCUUUGACUUGGGUCACACGGCCAAGCCACACGCUCGUGUGCUAGGCCGUGUGAGCAUUCUGUUUUGCAAAUAAAAAGAUACAGGGGACACACGGCCGUAUCACCUGGCCGUGUGGACAAAAAUAGGUAAUUUCCAAGCCACAUUUCUCACCCAAUUUGCCAACAACCUAACCAAACAUUUUUGGACAUCAACAAUCUAUAUCAAGGCAUUCAACCAAGCCAAAACCAAAUUUUAUACAUGACAUAACACCACAUAUAUCUAAGAAUCCACACUUACCAAAUAGACCAAAUACUCAUAUAUGCAAAUUUAUACCAAACAUUUAAUUUGAAACCAAUCAUCAACAUACCUAUAAAUUCACCAUCAUUCAACCAUAUCAACACAUAUCAAACAUGACAAGGUCAUAUAUAUAUACGAAAUACAAGCCAUACAAAUGACUAAUCAGCAAAAUGUUUAUAUGCCAACAUUGGUAAAAUUAACCUAUACAUCCAUUAUAACCAAAAUUAGUUUACUAUAUGUACUGAAAAGGUCGAUGGAUAGUGUGAAGUAGCUCCGACCAACUUCUAACCAAAUCGAGCUUCCAAAUUACUAUAAAACAUGGAAAAUAAAACAGAGUAAGCAUUUAAGCUUAGUAAGUUUGUAUAACAUGGAAUUUAACUUACCAUUUAUUCACAUUUAAGGUAAGCAUUCAUAACAUAUCCAAACCAAUUUGGCCAAAAACAUAUACACAUAUCCUCAACAUGUUAGCCAUGUAAAUCUCAUAUAAUAUUCCAUAAAUAUGGGUGAACAUAAUCACCAAUAAAGUUCCAUAUACAUGUAUCAUUCCAUUUCAAGUUUCAAUAUAUAUCAUGUAAUAUCAUUUCCAGUAAAAGUUCAUGUCAUUCUCAUAUAAUCUUGUAACAGAACUGUGCCCGUUGAACCAUUUAAAAUAUCGUUAGAUACAUGGGAAGUACACAUAAAGUGCACAAAACUAUAAUCCGUCAAUUUAUAUUCAGGAAUGCUCAUACGAGCAUGUAAACGGGAAGCUCUUUCGAGCCAUAUAACGAAAAGCUCAUGUGAGCUAUAUAACGGGAAGCUCAUGCGAGCCAUAAAUUAGGAAGCUCAAUAGAGUCAUUAAUCUGAAAGCUCGUGAGAGCCAAAUAUCAGGAUGCUCAUAAGAGUUGUGAUGUGUCUGCAACACAUGCAGGACCACAACCAAUCCGGGAACCCUAAUGACAUGUCAUUUGUAUUUAUCGAAUUUCUAAGGUUCAAACGGGACUCUGUACUUGUCCGAUAUGUGAUCAAUAAUAUAUAUGGAAAUUUAUACAAAUCACACACAACAAUAUUCAAUUCAAAUCACACAAAUAUACAAUUUAGUUACACGAAUUUACCUUGUCAAGUAUACGUAGAUUUGUAAGCUACCGAUCCUAUACUUUUUCUUUUCAUCGAUCCAAUUUCAUACUAGGUCUAUCCAGAUCUAUACGAAUGAAUUUAACUCAAUUUAAUACAAUUCAUAUUUAAUUCAAUCUAAUACACAUCAUUAGAAAAUUUACUAUUUUGCCCCUAUACUUUUAAUUAAUUACGAUUUAGUCCAUAGGCUCGGAUAAUGAAAUUCAUACAAUUUAAUCCUUAUUUCAAGUCUAACCGAUUUUUAUACAUAUCAAUAGCAGCCCAUAUUUUUCACAAAUUUUAGAAUUUUUCCAUACAUUUUUCAUCUUUUCAAUUUAGUCCCUAAAUCAUAAUUUCAUCAAAAUUCUCUUUACAAAAGUUGUUUAUCUAACAAAAACCUUUCAUUUUUUACCAUAAAACUUCAAAAUUCAACUAUACUCAACCAUAUCAAAACCCUAAUACUUUAACAAUUUUACUAAUUAAUCCCUGAGAUAGCUAGAUUAAGCUAUUACGAUCUCGGAAACAUAAAAAUCAUUAAAAACGGGAAAAGAAUACUCACCUAAUUAGAAAAAUAAGCUUGUAUAUAUUCAAGCUUCCAUGGCUAGGGUUUCCAUGUUUUAUUUUAGGAAAGAUGAUGAAAAUGAUGAUAAUUUGUUUUAUUUUAUUUAUUUAUCAUAAUUUUAUCAUUUACUUUCCAAAAUUAACCUUAUCUACUAACUCCUCUAAAUGGUUUAUAUCCACAUAAAGACCUCCAAUUUUAAAUUCCAUAGAUAUUUGAUACCUUUAACUACUAGAAUUCAACUUUUGCACUUUAUGCAAUUUGGUCCUUUUUAUCAAGCUAGGCAUGUAAACGGUAAAAUUUGUUAACGAAAUUUUCAUACGAUAUUUCUAUCAUACUGUAGACCAUAAAAUAAUAUUAAAUUAAAUUUUCUUUAGACUUCAAAUUUGUGGUCCUGAAACCACUGUUCCGAUUUCACUGAAAACGGGUUGUUACAAAAUUGGCUCUGGAACUCUAUGCAAAUUUGACUUCAUCGAUUGAAACAGAAGUUCCUGUCCAAGGCAGGAAGGUAUCUUUUGCACCUAAAGUUAUUAAUGAUUUCUUUAACUUACCCAAUAUAAAAAAUGAUGAUUAUAUGAAAAUGUUGAAAUGCGUUGAUGGGGAGUUAUUGAAAGAAAUAUUAAAGGAAGUUACAAUUCUUGGAACUAAUGGAUAAUUUCUAAAUCUGAUAGUCAUACUUGUCGGAAAGAGUUUCUGAAUCCAACAGCAAAGGCAUGGUUUUAUUUCAUAUGAUUCAGUCUUAUGCCUGUCUCACACAAUCAAUGUGUUACAACUCAUAUGCAUCAACAACAGCAACCUUGUUGGAGAUAUGGGAAAAUUUGAGACAACUCGAUAAGGGAUGGCAUUGCUAUGUAGAAGCAACCAGUUGAUGAACCAUCCGAGACAAAACCACCUGAUCAUUCAGAUAAGUCAAAACUAGUUCCUAAGCCAGAACCAACCAUUUAUCCUGACUUCACAACACCUACCGGACCUAUUAAACCUGAAUGGACUGAGCCAACACCCAGUUUUCCAUCAUCCAAAAUUGUUGCACAAUCAGACCAGUCUGAAAUCAUGAGCAUGUUACAACACAUGCAUCAACAACAGCAAGCUCAUUGGAGAUAUAUCUCAAUUACAUCAAUUACAUCCAUAUAAAUUUAUUUAUAUGUAAAUAUAAAUUUUAAAAUUAUUAAUGAGGUUCAAUCAUUUAAUUUAAUAUUUUUUAAUUUUAAAUAUAAUUGUAGAAAAAUUAAAAAUUAAUUUAAAAUAUCAAAUUUUGUACUAAUCGGUACAAGUCAAUAUUGACCGAAACACACCAAAUUUUUGAUCGAACAGGAACAUAGACUACUUACCAAUUUAGGAUCGAAACAAUACGACCGAUACUGACUACCAUGGUCACGGAUGAACCGUGCACCAAUUUGAUUAGGAAAAUUACUAAAUAUCAUUUUAUAUUAAAAAUAAAUUAUAUUAUUUGAUGAUAUUUUAAUCUUUUAUUAAAAAUAAAAAAAUAUGCCAAUUAUAUUAAUAAAACCUUAAAUUUAUUACUCAACUAAAGUUUUACUUCAAUAUUUUUGUAUACAUUUUAAUUUUAUUAUGUUUACUUCAUUACGUCCAUCAAUUAUAUACUUUAAUAAAGUUGUUGAUUGAGUUGGUGUCACGAAUUAACUUCACAGUCGACACCAACUUAGAAUUGACGACAAUAUUAUAAUAAAUAAUUGUAUUUAUUUAAUAUAUUCAUUUAGUAUUCUUGAUCGAAUAUAUUUUUAUGUUUAAAUUUCGUUUUAUUUUAUUUAUUUUGAUAUUAUAUGUAUUUCGUUCAAAGGUAUAUAUUUUAUUAUUUACUAUAUAUUAUUUUUUAAAUACACUUGUAGGAAAGCCCCCAAUCCCCAAAGAGAAUGUAAGCGUAACGCAACUUUGAAAAGGAUAAAAGCAAAACAGAAUUACUUCCACGCUUCAAAGACGAAGAACACCCAAAAUAACAUAAAAUAAAAUUAUGGAAGAGCUAAAGCCAAGGCCUGCAAGUUGCUUCCCUUUCACUCCAUUAGGCUUCUUAGAAAGGGCGGCCACCGUCUACGGCGAUUGCACCUCCAUCAUCUACAAUAACACUUCCUUCACCUGGUCCCAAACCCACCGCCGAUGCCUCCAGCUAGCUUCUUCCCUCUCCUCCAUCGGUAUCGGCAGCGGUCACGUCGUCUCCGUUUUAUCCUACAACAUCCCCGCCAUGUACGAGAUUCAAUUCGGCGUUCCCAUGUCUGGUGCUAUUCUUAACUGCAUCAACACCCGUCUCGACGCUCGCACAGUCUCCGUUCUCCUCCGCCACUGUGAACCGAAGCUCCUCUUCGUCGAUACCCUCUCUCAGUCUCUCGCCCUGGAAGCCAUCUCCCUCUUCCCCCCUAACAAAUCCCCCCCGCUUCUCGUUUUAAUCCAAGACGAUCACGAUGACGCCGGGGGUUCCAAUUCCUCAUUAUCCACCGUUGAUUCUCGCUUCUGUUGCACGUACGAGAGCCUGGUGGAGAAAGGCGACCCUAAUUUCAAAUGGAUUAGGCCUAAAAGUGAGUGGAGUCCGAUUGUUUUGAACUAUACAUCAGGCACCACAUCAUCCCCCAAAGGAGUGGUUCAUAGUCACAGAGGAAUUUUCACCAUGACCGUUGAUUCUUUAAUCGAUUGGGAGGUUCCAAAACAACCAGUUUAUUUAUGGACACUCCCCAUGUUUCACGCUAAUGGGUGGAGUUACACUUGGGGCAUGGCUGCCGUCGGCGGCACCAAUGUUUGUGUUCGCAAAUUCGAUGCCUCCACCGUAUAUAGUUUAAUUAAGAAACAUGGUGUCACUCACAUGUGUGGAGCGCCUGUUGUGCUUAACAUGUUAUCCAAUUCCCCUGAAAUUAAGCCACUCCCAAAUCCUGUUCAAAUCCUUACCGCCGGAGCUCCACCGCCGGCGGCAGUGCUGUCUAGGACCGAGUCACUCGGAUUCGUCGUGAGUCACGGUUACGGGUUAACCGAAACGGGAGGGCUUGUGGUAUCUUGCGCUUGGAAAAGGGAAUGGAACAAGCUACCGGCGACGGAGCGAGCAAGGUUGAAAGCGAGGCAAGGAGUGAGAACCAUCGGAAUGACGGAAGCGGACGUGGUGGACCCUGAGUCAGGACUCAGUGUAAAACGAGACGGGUCAACUCUUGGGGAGAUCGUUUUAAGAGGCGCCUCUGUCAUGUUGGGUUACUUGAAAGACCCAAACGCCACCAACAAAUGCAUGAAAGAAAAUGGGUGGUUUUACACGGGAGACGUCGGCGUUAUGCACUCCGAUGGGUACAUGGAAAUCAAAGACCGUUCAAAGGAUGUUAUAAUCAGCGGCGGCGAGAAUCUGAGCAGCGUCGAAGUUGAGUCGGUUCUGUACAAUCACCCGGCAAUCAAUGAAGCGGCGGUAGUGGCUCGACCAGAUGAGUAUUGGGGAGAGACUCCUUGCGCGUUUGUGAGUUUGAAAAAUGAGUUGACUCAGAAACCGAGUGAGCAGGACAUAAUACAGUAUUGCAGAGCUAAGUUGCCACACUACAUGGUGCCCAAAACGGUGGUUUUUAAGGAAGAAUUGCCCAAGACGUCGACGGGGAAGGUUCAGAAGUUUGCUCUUAGAGAUAUGGCGAAGGCGCUGGGUCCUUCGUCAUCUUCCUCACGGCUGAGUCGGAUGUAAGCUCCCUUGGUACUCACUAUCUGCAUGAUCAACAUCGGAUUGCCGUAAUUAUGAAAUAGUAGUGAAAGCUGAAUUUAUGACUUAGUAAAAUACUCUUACGAUCUGUACGGGCUUUAUUAAUAACACAUUAAACUUUCAUAAAGUCUUAUUCUUAGUGCCUCGACUGCAUUAUUACAAUAUAUUAAAAAUUAAGUUCGUUGGUGGAUUGAGUUGAGACUUAUCUCUGGGAUUUCGAGUGCGUUAUUUAAGCGCAUUUAAUGGAAUAAUUUUAGAUAUUAUAUUAAAAAUAAAAAUUACACAAAAACUACCCUUCAAAAUCAACAAGAAAUAUAUAGAUGGAGAAUCUCCAGCGCCUUUAGUGUAUAAGUUAAAGGAGAUUUUAGCGUCAAAGAAAGUCGGUGUUUUUAGUUUCAUAAAAUAUUGGGCACCAAGGAAAAAGUCGGUAUAUUAGCUUAUUAUAGUACUAAUUCCGUAAGCUGAUAAGAACACCCGGAAAGGACAAAACAAAGAGAUGAAGCGUCGUGCUAUAUUGAUGUAGACAAAAGCGUGGUGCUAUAAUUGAUGUGACCAUUUUUCUCUUUUUGAAUCUACUUAUUAUCAAUUAUAAAAAAUUUAUUUAAUUUUUCUUUUUAGUCGCCAAUGUUAAAUUGGCUAACAAAAAUACGAUGUAGUACCUUUUAAAUUUGAUGUUAUUGAUGUUGGGAUUAGAUAAGGUAGAGAUGGCAUCAUUAUUCGACAGUUCACUUCGUUUAUGUCAAGGUGGAGAGCCACCCACCAUAGGGGUUGUCUAUGUAAUAGUGGUGAUUAAGUCGAGUUUUAGAGAAUGGAGAGGAUGGAGGGCGAGAGAGAAAGAGAGAAGAAGAAAAAGAUCUUUUAUUAGUCAGGGGUUAAAGGUCUAUAUACCCUUAGCUACAAUCCUGAGAAAUCAAGUGGCAUGUCCCUAUUGGUGAGUCAAGGGGAGUGGCCAAGUUGUUUGCCACUAUAGGUCUAAGUAAUGUGACGAUUGGACGUGCUUUAAUUACUUCAAAUAGAAUGUGGUAUUUGAGAUAACCGGUGACAACUAAUAAGUGAGGUCUACUUGUACUUAUGUGAAUGCAAAGUCAAUGAGUAUCUCAAAGGGUUUAUCUCAAGGAUAAGCAUGACCUUUAUUUGACGUAAGCCAAAAGGUUGUCUCUAAGGGGUGGAGGUAUAACAAUUACCCCUAGUCAAGAGGGAGGUUAUAAUAGCCUCGUUUUCAAAAAAAAAAUCAUGCCCAAUGAGUAGGCUUGAUCUACCAAAAAAAAACUCAUUUUACUGUUAAAAAAUAAUACAAUAAUAAAAAUAUAUUUUAUAUUGAUAUUUUAUAUUUUAUAUUUAAUUUUAAAUUAAAAUAUUAUUUAAAUAGAAUACGAGCCGACUCGAGGUACAAAAAUCCUUGUCCAACCUUGACCCAAGUCGAGCGAGCCUAUCAGGUCAAAUGGAUUACCAAGCUUUUGGGCCUAUCUAGUAUGGUCCAUGUUGCUUAGAUGUUCACACAUGUGUGUACUCGCAUUUAUGGAUGUGCGUUACAGUGCAUCAUAAGGAAACAUCAAUGAUAGUGUUUGUACCCACUAAUGUCAUAUAAGGGCAUGGAUUCAAACCCCACCAAGGCCAAAUGCUCACAUUUCUUUGCUCCUUAAACUCCAUGGACCUGUUUGGAUUCUCCCCGGAGCCAAGAGACAAAACCUAGGGACAAAAUCAAGCAUAAACACCCUAAGCCCAAUACCUCCACUAUUUGAAGGUCUAAGACUCCGACCUCCCCUCAACAAACAUAAUAGCAACUUUAACCAUCAAACAUUUAUACAUUCUGUAUUUUUGUCUUUUUUUUUGCGAUUUUGCUUUUCUUUGUAAAAUUUCACCUAAAAAGCAUUAAAAAAAUUCAUCAACUGAAUUUAUUUUUUAAAAAAAAAUACUAAAAAUGGAAACACCCCAAAGCCCAAGACAAUAGUUUUCCCUCUUUCUCAUUCUUUUCUCUUAAUACUGUAACUCUCCAUUGUUGGAUUGAACACUAAUGGCUAAGAUGACUCAGUCUUCACAGGUUCACUCUUCACCAAUUUCAUAAGAUUUGUGCUUGAAUUGUUUAAAGUUGAUUCAAUUGAGCUACUCUUGUUAUUGUUGUUGUCAUUGUUGUUACUGUUUUCGACAAACAAAGAGAGCUUCACCAUUUGUUCAAUUAACCCACUACAAAAAGGAAAAUGAAAGUACCUUUGAAAUCAUCAACUUUUAGAGCUAGAGCCACAAUAUGCUUAGUCAAGUUCAGGGAAUGGAUAAAUUGAAUGGCUUGGGAACUUGAAAUUUCAAACAGAGUUAUGAAUGAACUUGCCUUAUGGGUUGCUAGAGCUGAAAUCAAACGAUUCGUUGGUAAACAGGAGGAAUUAGAAUGCUACCACUUCAUCCAUUUGCAACGUUAUCCUUAUGUUUGACUUAAUGAAAAAUUGAAAAAUAACAAUAAAAAAAAUAAACCAAAAUUUGAAAAAAAAAACCUAUUCAAAUCAUUGAAAAUAAAAAGCACCCAUUUCAUUAAUUCAACAAAGUUUCAAGUCUAACUGCUUCAAAAAAAAAUUUAAGCUUUGAUUUAUUUUAUCAAUAGUAGUCGACCCAAGCUAAUAAAAAUGAGUUAAUUGUCAUUAAGAGAUAUCAAGUAGUUAGCCAUAUGAAGUAUAUGUGUUGACACCAUUUUUUUGAUGAAAAAGGGGUCGACUUGGAUUUUGAAAAAUGAAAAUGAAAACGAAAAAUGGGAGUCGCCACCGAUCUUUUUUGAUAAGGUGUGAUCGGGUCACCUCGUAAAAAUGGUUGUUUUUAACAAACAAUUUAAUUUUAUUAAAACAAGAAGUUUGGUCCACAAAAUUCAGAAAACGGGUUCGGGAGUCGGUUACGCACGAGGAAGGAUUAACACCCUCGUAACGCCCAAAAUUGGUACCUAAUUGAUUAGUUAAUGUCUUGAUGUCGAAAAUUUGAAAACUUGAAAAAGAUUUCAAAAUGCGAUCCUUGUAUUAAAAUGUUAAAAUUUUUUGGGAAAAAGGGGCAUAUUUCACGCUAAUCGAGAAAAAAAUAUCAUAUCCAGUAAGUUAGGACACAAUGUCUCGAAUUCCCGAUACGCAAAUAAAAAAGCUUAUUUAAAAGAUAUUUGGCUAUCUCAGAUUUAAAAAAAGAAUCACGACCAGUAAGUUAAGACACGAUCUUUUUUAAUUCCCGAGAUCGCUUAAAACUUGAGUUUGAAAAGAUUUGUGUAUUUAGAUUUAUUGUGAAAAUCGAAACCCAGUAAGUUAGGGUACGAUCUUCUCGAAUUUUAAAAUACAAAAUUUUGUUUAUUUUAAAACCAUAUUAAAUAAAAUUAAUUGAGUAUGAAAUGGUAGGAAUAAACACAAUAUUAACUUGUAUAACAAAAUGAUGAUGAUGAUACAAGCACAAAUAAUAUAAGCAAUAAUAAAAAAAAUGAAAUACAUAAAUAAAAGAAUCAAGUUUAUGAAGUAAUAAAUAAACAAUAAAAGAAAAACUAAAACAUUUCCUAAAAAUAAUAACGAACAUAUGAAUAAAUAAAUGAAUAAAUAUCAAAUAGAAAGACAAAAACAACACGAAAAGAUAAAAUAUAUAUGUAUGUAUAUGUCUAUCAAAUUAAAAAGUGCAAAAAUAUAAGAACGUACAUAUACAAAUAUAUACGCUUAAAAAAUGUAUGUAUAUAUAUAAAUAUAUGUAUACAUAAAUUAUAGAACAUAUAUAAAAAUAUAUAAGUAUGUAUGUAAGUAUGUGUAAAUAUUAUAAAAUAAUAAUACAAAUAUAUAUUUUGGUACGUACAUAUAUGUGUAAAUAAAUUAUAAAAAUAUACACAUGCAAAUAUAUACCUUAAGCUUAUAAAAUAUAAGAGAAUGUAAACAUCUAUAAAUAUAUAUAAAGCUAAAAUAAUAAAUAUAUUAAUACAAUAGUAACGAAUAUAUAAGAGGAGAAUAAAAUUAACAAUAAUAAAUAGUAAUAAUAGUAAUAAAAAAUAACAAUAAUAAUAAUAAUAAAUGUAAUGAUAAUAACAUUCAAAUAAUUAACUAAACAAUAAAAUUGCUAAAAAAAGACUAAAUCGAAAUAAAAAUGAAAAUACUGGGCAAAUUCAAAAAUAAAAAGGACAAAAGGACCGAACUGUGACACGCGCAGAAAGAGGGAGGUCCAAAAUGGUAAAUAGACCAAGCACCCCAAAACGCAGCGUUACGAAGGACCAGAUUGAAACAAAAAUUAAAUUAUGGGGCUAUAUUAAAAAAAUGAAACAAACGAAAAGGGAGUAAAUUAAGAGAGCCAUAAACGCGGAGGGACUAGGGUUGUAAAUAACCCAUUCCGCGAAAAUGCGCGGACCCCCUGGAGCGGGUCGGGUCGCGCGCGGGUAAGGGGCCUCAAAACGGCACCGUUUUCCUUUUAUUAUUUAAACCCAAAACAUUUUUUUAAUCCAUUUUCAGCCCCUUUUUCCCCAAAAAUCUGAAAUAAAACCCUCAGCCUCCUUUUCUCUCCUUUUUCCCCACUCAACCCCCAAGUUCAGACCACCGUCGCCGCCACCUUGGCCAGUGGCCGGAGUUGCUGCGAGAAGGGCCUCUUGGCCUUCCCUU
rnacentral:lncRNA from 1 species